rnacentral:misc_RNA from 1 species
GAUGAAGAACGUAGUGAAAUGCGAUACUUGGUGUGAAUUGCAGAAUCCCGUGAACCAUCGAGUCUUUGAACGCAAGUUGCGCCCGAAGCCAUUAGGCCGAGGGCACGCCUGCCUGGGUGUCACACACCGUUACCCUCGCGCCAACGUCCAUCGUUGGCCGCGGCGCGGGGCGUGCGCUGACCUCCCGCGAGCGGGGUCUCGUGGUUGGUUGAAAAUCGAGUUCGCGGUCGAGGGUGCCGUGAUGAAAUGGUGGAUGGGCGACGCCCGAGGCCAAUCACGCGCGACUCUGUCCGGCUCGUCUCCUGGACCCCUUCGGCGUCUCCGGACGCUCUUUGGCGAGACCUCAGGUCAGGCGGGGCUACCCGCUGAGUUUAAGCAUAUCAAUAAGCGGAGGA